rnacentral:rRNA from 1 species
GACGAACGCUGGCGGCGUGCUUAACACAUGCAAGUCGAACGGAAAGGCCCUGCUUUUGUGGGGUGCUCGAGUGGCGAACGGGUGAGUAACACGUGAGUAACCUUCCCUUGACUUUGGGAUAACUUCAGGAAACUGGGGCUAAUACCGGAUAGGAGCUCCUGCUGCAUGGGGGGGGUUGGAGAGUUUGGGCGGUUGGGGAUGGACUCGCGGGUUAUCCGCUUGUUGGUGGGGUAGUGGCUUACCAAGGCUUUGACGGGUAGCCGGCCUGAGAGGGUGAACGGCGACCAUGGGACUGAGGGACGGCGCAGAAGGCUAAGGGAGGCAGAAGUGGGAAAUCUUGCACAAUGAGCGGAAGCCUGAUGCAGAAACGCCGCGUGCGGGAUAACGGCUUUCGGGGGGAAAACAGCCUUGGCCUGAAACGAGGCGUGAGUGACGGUAAUGGGUAAAGAAGCCACGGCUAACUACGUG